UGGGGAAUAUUGGACAAUGGGGGAACCCUGAUCCAGCCAUGCCGCGUGUGUGAAGAAGGCCUUUUGGUUGUAAAGCACUUUAAAGCGAGGAGGAGGCGCUCUAGGAUAAUACCCUAGAUGCGUGGACGUUACUCGCAGAAUAAGCACCGGCUAACUCUGUGCCAGCAGCCGCGGUAAUACAGAGGGUGCGAGCGUUAAUCGGAUUUACUGGGCGUAAAGCGCGCGUAGGUGGCUAAUUAAGUCAAAUGUGAAAUCCCCGAGCUUAACUUGGGAAUUGCAUUCGAUACUGGUUAGCUAGAGUAUGGGAGAGGAUGGUAGAAUUCCAGGUGUAGCGGUGAAAUGCGUAGAGAUCUGGAGGAAUACCGAUGGCGAAGGCAGCCAUCUGGCCUAAUACUGACACUGAGGUGCGAAAGCAUGGGGAGCAAAACAGGAUUAGAUACCCUGGUAGUCCAUGCCGUAAACGAUGUCUACUAGCCGUUGGGGCCUUUGAGGCUUUAGUGGCGCAGCUAACGCGAUAAGUAGA
rnacentral:rRNA from 1 species